rnacentral:rRNA from 1 species
GACGAACGCUGGCGGCGUGCUUAACACAUGCAAGUCGAACGGAAAGGCCCUGCUUUUGUGGGGUGCUCGAGUGGCGCAAGGGUGAGUAACACGUGAGUAACCUGCCCUUGACUUUGGGAUAACUUCAGGAAACUGGGGGUCAUACCGGAUAGGAGCUCCUGCUGCAUGGUGUGGGUUGGAAAGUUUCGGCGGUUGGGGAUGGACUCGCGGCUUAUCAGCUUGUUGGUGGGGUAGUGGCUUACCAAGGCUUUGACGGGUAGCCGGCCUGAGAGGGUGACCGGCCACAUUGGGACUGAGAUACGGCCCAGACUCCUACGGGAGGCAGCAGUGGGGAAUAUUGCACAAUGGGCGGAAGCCUGAUGCAGCAACGCCGCGUGCGGGAUGACGGCCUUCGGGUUGUAAACCGCUUUCGCCUGUGACGAAGCGUGAGUGACGGUAAUGGGUAAAGAAGCACCGGCUAACUACGUG